rnacentral:lncRNA from 1 species
UUUUUACUUUCUAUACUUGUCAUGUUUAUUCGUUGUUUGUUUGUUUGCUUGUUUUUGUGUGAGUUUAUGCUUAAAACAUUGAGGACAAUGUUUGAUUUAAGUGUGGGAGGGGGGGUAACCAAGUUGUUUUUUAUUAAAUUCAUAGGAGUUUAUCACCCAUUACUUCUAGUAUUGUUCCUUGCUGUUUUUAAGUGUUUUUAAGCUGUUUUUAAGUGUUUUAGUAUGUUUUGACAUAAAAAUCCGAAAAUCUCAUAAAAAUUUUAAAAAUUGUUUUGAAAACCCCAAAAAGAGUUGCUUUUAUGUGUUUGUUUGUGUCUUAGGGUACCUUCAACACAAUGAUGAGGAUUUUGUUUUUAAUUACAUGACUAUUAAAGAGAGUUAUAAACAUGGAUGAAAAUUUGAUUUACUCGUUGGUGUAUGCUUGGUUGUGGUUAUAAUUUAUGAAUUCACAUGCAAUCAUAAAGGAAAAUCAGUUUUUGUAACAUGCUUGAAGGAAGGAACUCAAAUGAACAUUACAACCUUGUGAGACUUGAGCCUAAACGUUUAUUUGGAGAGUUAAUAAUUUGUGCAACAUUGUUUUCUAAAGUCGUUGCAUGAUCUCAUUAUUCUUUGCUUGGUUG